UCGAGGAGAGUUCAAUGUGAAUUCAGUCUGGAAAGCAUCAGGGACAGCAUUGCAUACCUCCCAACAUAGAGCCACCAUGAGUUUUGUGAUGUGCCAACCAACACAGUUUCUGGAAAUGGAGGUGUCUAGGCAUCGAGAAGGAACUCCAGGCUCAAAUGAAGAAACUCGUGUUACGAUUUCACCAUACCAUAAUUCACCUAGAGUGAAUUCCAGAUGUUCAUAUUCCACAUAUGCAGGUUCCAUGACAACACCAUUCGCUGGGUAGCUAGUUAGGAUUUAAUUGCAGCUGAAUGAAGAGGAGGCAGUUGUCAAUUUGGUCAUCAACUUUCGAAUACAAGUCUACUCCAUUCCAAUCACCAACGUCUGGCAGAAAGAUGCGCCAAGAACAGCGGCCCAGAAUGGCCAAAGAUUUAUCAUAUUCCAGAUAUCAGAGUUCAAUCGGGAUUGGUACGAAUCUGAAUAAAGAAAGAUGCAACCUGCCCGACUGGCCCAAGAUUUCACGCAUUUCCGACAGUCAAGUGUAGGUUCUUUGAAACGGAUGCAAAUCGGUGCGUUUUGGGAGGAGCUCGAUUCUUUCCCUGAUUUUCAGGUUCCAUCACAGCUUGAAGAAUUAGAAUUGUGCGGGUGGCCUAAGCUCAAAUCUCUGCCUCAACAGAUUCAACACUUGACUUCUCUAACAUCUUUGGCUAUUUCCCUUUUCGAUGGUGUGGAAACUCUUCCAGAGUGGUUGGGUAACCUUACAUCUCUUACUCUGUUGGAAAUUCGGCAUUGUGCAAAUCUUCUCUAUCUACCUACGGUCGAAGCUAUGCAACGCCUAACCAAACUACAUGAGCUACAUAUUUUUAAUUGACCCCGUCUUGGUGAAAGAUGCACCAAGGGCAGUGGCCCGGAAUGGUCAAAGACAUCCCACAUUCCAAAAAUCAUAGUUGAAAGAUGGUGAUUUGAGCCAUUCGGCGCCUCAACGAUCCAGCACGGUUGGAUAUUCAUGGUUUUCAUCUUUAAAGAAAAAUAUGUGCAUCGAGGAGUAGUAGCUGUCAUGAAGUUGUGCAAGAUAUUGCUCUCAUCCUAAUUGCUUCAAGUUUCAUACUGAAAAGAAAGUUGUUAAGUGUAACGUUACUCGCAACAAUAAACAUUAACAAGGUUAAGUCUUUCGGCAUCA